AUUUUCUUUGAAGAAGUUGCGAUUACAUCAAGACGACGGAUGAGAAAGUUUAGCGGCGAACGAGUUCAGUAAUACCUUGGAAUCUACCUCGAAGACGGGGAUAACUUGCCGAAAGGCAGGCUAAUACCCGAUAGUAUGGCAACAUUAAAGUCGCAAGACACUUCGAGAGGAGCCUAGGUCCUAUCAGCUAGUUGGUGAGGUAACUGCUCACCAAGGCUAUGACGGGUAGGGGGCGUGAGAGCGCGACCCCCAACGAUGGAACUGAGAUACGGUCCAUACACCUACGGGUGGCUGCAGUCGAGAAUAUUCCACAAUGGGCGAAAGCCUGAUGGAGCGACACCGCGUGCAGGAAGAAGGGCUUCGGUCUGUAAACUGCUUUUUGUCGGGAACAACUUACGUGAGCGUACCGACAGAAUAAGGGGCUGCAAACUUCGUGCCAGCAGCCGCGGUAAUACGAAGGCCUCAAGCGUUAUCCGGAUUUAUUGGGCGUAAAGGGUCUCCAGGUGGUUUUGUUAGUCCUUUGUUAAAUCUCACUGCCCAACGGUGAGGCCGCAGGGGAAACGGCAAAACUAGAGGGAUGGAGAGGGAGUAGGAACUCACGGUGUAGGGGUGAAAUCCGUUGAUAUCGUGGGGAACACCAAAGGCGAAGGCAAACUCCUGGCCAUUUCCUGACACUCAUGAGACGAAAGCGUGGGGAGCAAAUGGGAUUAGAUACCCCAGUAGUCCACGCCCUAAGCGAUGCGCGCUCGCUGUUCCGAGUAUCGACCCUCGGAGUGGCUUAGCUUACGCGUUAAGCGCGCCGCCUGGGAAGUACGAGCGCAAGCUUAAAACUCAAAGGAAUAGACGGGGAUUCGCACAAGCGGUGGAGCAUGCGGUUCAAUUCGAUGACAACCGAGGAACCUCACCAGGGCUUGAAAUACAUACGACGUUUCAGGGAAACUUGGAACUUCUCACAAGGACGUAUGCACAGGUGUUGCACGGCCCUCGUCAGUUCGUGGUGUGAAUUGUUCUCUUAAGUGAGGCAACGAACGCAACCCUCAUUGCCUGUUAUAAGUGUCAGGCGAAACUGCCGUGUUUUACACGGAGGAAGGUGGGGAUGACGCGAGGUCAGCGUGACCCUCUGAUGUCCUGGGCUACACGCAUGCUACAAUGGCGCGUACAAUGGGUCGCGAAGCCGCGAGGCGGAGCCAAUCCCAUCAAAACGCGCCCCAGUUCAGAUUGGAGUCUGCAACUCGACUCCAUGAAGCAGGAAUCGCUAGUAACCGUGAAUCAGCUAUGUCACGGUGAA
rnacentral:rRNA from 1 species